CCUACGGGAGGCAGCAGUGGGGAAUUUUGGACAAUGGGCGAAAGCCUGAUCCAGCAAUGCCGCGUGCAGGAAGAAGGCCUUCGGGUUGUAAACUGCUUUUGUACGGAACGAAACGGUCUGCUUUAAUACAGUGGGCUAAUGACGGUACCGUAAGAAUAAGCACCGGCUAACUACGUGCCAGCAGCCGCGGUAAUACGUAGGGUGCGAGCGUUAAUCGGAAUUACUGGGCGUAAAGCGUGCGCAGGCGGUUAUAUAAGACAGUUGUGAAAUCCCCGGGCUCAACCUGGGAAUUGCAUCUGUGACUGUAUAGCUAGAGUACGGUAGAGGGGGAUGGAAUUCCGCGUGUAGCAGUGAAAUGCGUAGAUAUGCGGAGGAACACCGAUGGCGAAGGCAAUCCCCUGGACCUGUACUGACGCUCAUGCACGAAAGCGUGGGGAGCAAACAGGAUUAGAUACCCUGGUAGUCCACGCCCUAAACGAUGUCAACUGGUUGUUGGGUGCAUUAGUACCCAGUAACGAAGCUAACGCGUGAAGUUGACCGCCUGGGGAGUACGGCCGCAAGGUUGAAACUUAAAGGAAUUGACGG
rnacentral:rRNA from 1 species